AAGUCGUAACAAGGUUUCCGUAGGUGAACCUGCGGAAGGAUCAUUAACACGUAUCCAACGUUAAACCCCCCUGUGAACUGUAUAUCGUGCUCAAUCAGCAAUCUCUGGUAAAUCAUUGUCGAACAGCUUUUGAUUCAGAGACUUCUGCCUUCACUGCGGAAGCUACCGGUCCAAUCGAGCGCUGGAAUCAGUGGUUUGGUUUCCCCUCAAACCACUAUGAAUGGGGAGGUCGAAUAACGCAGGCUAGAGGCCCCCCACGGACCGGCGUCCAAAUCACCGAGCGCAAGCUCCCCUAAAACCACAUGUCAGCGUAGGCCCUUCUGUCGUGGUUGGGCGUAAAAACGAACAACUGUUAACAAUGGAUAUCUUGGUUCUC
rnacentral:misc_RNA from 1 species